UGGGGAAUAUUGGACAAUGGGCGAAAGCCUGAUCCAGCCAUGCCGCGUGUGUGAAGAAGGUCUUCGGAUUGUAAAGCACUUUAAGUUGGGAGGAAGGGCAGUAAAUUAAUACUUUGCUGUUUUGACGUUACCGACAGAAUAAGCACCGGCUAACUCUGUGCCAGCAGCCGCGGUAAUACAGAGGGUGCAAGCGUUAAUCGGAAUUACUGGGCGUAAAGCGCGCGUAGGUGGUUUGUUAAGUUGGAUGUGAAAUCCCCGGGCUCAAACUGGGAACUGCAUUCAAAACUGACUGACUAGAGUAUGGUAGAGGGUGGUGGAAUUUCCUGUGUAGCGGUGAAAUGCGUAGAUAUAGGAAGGAA
rnacentral:rRNA from 1 species